rnacentral:rRNA from 1 species
GACGAACGCUGGCGGCGUGCCUAAUACAUGCAAGUCGAACGAGUUGCGAAUGGGUGAGUAACGCGUGGUAAACUGCCCCAUAGCGGGGGGUAACUUUCGGAAACCAUUGCCAAUACCGCCUUCUUUGAGAUGGACCUGCGUGGUAUUGGCUAGUUGGUGGGGUAAAGGCUCACCAAGGUGACGAUACAUAGCCGACCUGAGAGGGUGAUCGGCCACACUGGGACUGAGACACGGUCCAGACUCCUACGGGAGGCAGCAGUGGGGAAUAUUGCACAAUGGGCGCAAGCCUGAUGCAGCCAUGCCGCGUGUAUGAAGAAGGCCUUCGGGUUGUAAAGUACUUUCAGCGGGGAGGCGUUACCCGCAGAAGAAGCACCGGCUAACUCCGUGCCAGCAGCCGCGGUAAUAC